GACGAACGCUGGCGGCGUGCCUAAUACAUGCAAGUUGAGCGCUGAAGGUUGGUACUUGUACCAACUGGAUGAGCAGCGAACGGGUGAGUAACGCGUGGGGAAUCUGCCUUUGAGCGGGGGACAACAUUUGGAAACGAAUGCUAAUACCGCAUAAAAACUUUAAACACAAGUUUUAAGUUUGAAAGAUGCAAUUGCAUCACUCAAAGAUGAUCCCGCGUUGUAUUAGCUAGUUGGUGAGGUAAAGGCUCACCAAGGCGAUGAUACAUAGCCGACCUGAGAGGGUGAUCGGCCACAUUGGGACUGAGACACGGCCCAAACUCCUACGGGAGGCAGCAGUAGGGAAUCUUCGGCAAUAGACGAAAGUCUGACCGAGCAACGCCGCGUGAGUGAAGAAGGUUUUCGGAUCGUAAAACUCUGUUGGUAGAGAAGAGCGUUGGUGAGAGUGGAAAGCUCAUCAAGUGACGGUAACUACCCAGAAAGGGACGGCUAACUACGUG
rnacentral:rRNA from 1 species